GAGAAUAUAUUUUUAAGCUCAUUAUUUAUUUUCACCUAUGCUGUGCUUAUUGGCUUAUAAAUCAUAAAAAAAUUGAAUUUGUUUUUUUUGUUUGUUGGAUUGCUGUUCUGUGCUUACAGAAUAUAUUUUAUGCUGAGUAGUGCUAUAUUGGCAAAAAGGCUCACAAAUUUGUUUGAAGGAUGAAUUGGAGAAUGCUGACUAUUACAUGGGAGAGUAGUGAUUGAAUGCAAGUGGAACUUUC
rnacentral:misc_RNA from 1 species